GGACGGGGAGCACUACAACGGGUGGAGCCUGCGGUUUAAUUGGAUUCAACGCCGGAAAUCUCACCGGGGCGGCAGCAUAUGAAGGUCAGGCUGAAGACCUUACCCGAUUAGCUGAGAGGUGGUGCAUGGCCGUCGUCAGUUCGUACUGUGAAGCAUCCUGUUAAGUCAGGCAACGAGCGAGACCCACGUCCACAGUUGCCAGCAUACCCUCCGGGGUGAUGGGUACACUGUGGAGACCGCCGCUGCUAAAGCGGAGGAAGGAGUGGGCAACGGUAGGUCAGUAUGCCCCGAAUCUCCCGGGCUACACGCGGGCUACAAUGGUUGGUACAAUGGGCAUCUACCCCGAAAGGGGAAGGAAAUCUCUUAAAGCCAAUCGUAGUUCGGAUUGAGGGCUGCAACUCGCCCUCAUGAAGCUGGAAUCCGUAGUAAUCGCGUUUCAACAGAACGCGGUGAAUACGUCCCUGCUCCUU
rnacentral:rRNA from 1 species